rnacentral:rRNA from 1 species
UGAGGAAUUUUGCGCAAUGGGGGGAACCCUGACGCACCAACGCCGCGUGAGUGAAGAAGGCCUUCGGGUCGUAAAGCUCUGUCGAGUGGGAAGAACCUUCGUAUGUUGAAUAUACAUACGGACUGACGGUACCACAGAAGGAAGCACCGGCUAACUCCGUGCCAGCAGCCGCGGUAAUACGGAGGGUGCAAGCGUUAUUCGGAAUUAUUGGGCGUAAAGAGCGCGUAGGCGGCUUUGCAAGUCAGGUGUG